GAUGAACGCUAGCGGCAGGCCUCAUACAUGCAAGUCGAGGGGCAGCAUGACACUUCGGUGUUGAUGGCGACCGGCGAACGGGUGCGUAACGCGUAUGCAAUCUGCCUUGUACUGAAGAAUAGCUUCUGGAAACGGGAAUUAAUACUUCAUAAUAUCAUUUCAUCGCAUGGUGAUUUGAUUAAAGCUCCGGCGGUACAAGAUGAGCAUGCGUCCCAUUAGCUUGUUGGUAAGGUAACGGCUUACCAAGGCUACGAUGGGUAGGGGGUCUGAGAGGAUGAUCCCCCACACUGGCACUGAGAUACGGGCCAGACUCCUACGGGAGGCAGCAGUAGGGAAUAUUGGGCAAUGGGCGCAAGCCUGACCCAGCCAUGCCGCGUGCAGGAUUGAAGGUCCUUAGGAUCGUAAACUGCUUUUUUAUGGGAGCAAAAACUUUCUGCGGAAAGCUUUGAGAGUACCAUAAGAAUAAGCACCGGCUAACUCCG
rnacentral:rRNA from 1 species